ACCAUAGUUUAACGUUUCUUUUGAUUCUCUUUUUUUAUCUAUUCGCCACCAAUUCCUAGAUUAUGAGUAACAGAGGAUUGACCCGACAACGCAACAAGGACCUUAAAAACCCGAGAAAGAAGUAUCGGAAUAAGCACGAGAAAAAAGUCAUUGAUCGCAAAGGACAGGUCAGAGAUAUCCGGAAACAAACAGGUCCAUAUUCAGGAGAAACUCGCGGUAUCAAUCCCAACACAAGCAGGAGCAUCCGAAUCAAGAACUAACCUCCUCUUCUUCCUAUGUCCCCCAAUUUCUCUAUUUGCACGCUUCGUUUUGCUGUUGUAUUAUCUUCUAUUGUGGAUCUCGUACUUUUCAUUUUUUCUCUUCUUCAAGACUAAGCAAAUCCUUGUUUUGCAAUUUUUGAUGUUUUUGUUUAAAUCUGUUGUCUUACAUUUGUACAAGAAGGCAAUUCAAUAUGCUAAAGAGUACGAAGUAGUUGAUGAAUUCUUCAGCCA